CAUGAAGAAAAUACACUGAAAUGUUAGCAAUCAGUAGAUCCAGGUGAUGGAUGUACAGUGAGUCUUUCUGCUUUUAGGUAUGUCUGAAAAUUUCCAUAUUAAAAUGUAAAUUUAUAUACAUAUAGAUAGGUGUGUAUAAAGAAAGAAUUCCAUCUUAAAGCCCCUUUCCCUCCUCUUCCUCCUGCCUCUCCUGCUCCUCUUCCUUGUUCGUGUUGAUGUUCCUAAUUGUUCCUUUCAUUUGUCUCACAAAGGUAUCCCUUUAGGGCCAGCUGUAUUUCUGAAAGAUGUACCUAGCACAGCAUGUUUUUAUAAUCUCCUCUUAAAAGUUGGAUUAAGCCUUCAAAGCCCAGCUCUGUGCGUCCUAGACUCCAGUGUGAGCCACCCAGGGGGACCUCCUCUCAGCAGGUCCACGCUGCUGUGAGGACUUCUAGGCUUCUCUUCUCCCUACUGCCUGGUAUCCUAGAACACCCAUCUAUAUAUACAUCUGACUCUCCUAGUCCCCAGGUGGCAGACACAAGUUGCCUCCAGCAAACCAGGUUAAAGAGGGCUUCUCAGAAGAUGGUCCUAGGAAGUCAUGCUACUACAUGAAUGAAAGUAAAAUUGGAUCCCCACCUACCACUACGUCCCAGAGACCAUCACCAAAAGAGAGAGAGAGCAAGUUGGAAUGUAGCCUCCUUAUAAGAACUGAUUUGUUCUUACAAGAGAAAGUGUGUGAGAUGAGGAAGUAUCAGUUGAAGAAAAUAAGAAUGAAGGAGCGUGGUGUCUGCAAGUUUGGUUCAUAGAAAACAAUAGUGCUACCCAGAUGGAACUGAGCAGCCUCUUUCUUCAUGUCCUUCCUGUGCACCUCGACACAUUUCUGCUGUAGCAUCUGCACGUGCUCCUUCACCUGGCUGCUGCCUCCAGCAGGACUGCAAGCCCCCAGAAUGGUGCCCUUUUAUCCUUGGUUUGUCACUUUGUGCCUGGAACACCUCACAAAGGGUGUUAAUGAUUUAUGUUCAUUUAUUCUUUUUGUAAUCGGAAUGAAAGUCUCAUAAUAUUAACCAUUCUAAAGUGAACAAUUUACUUCUAGGACAUUCACAAUGUUGCGCAACCACCAUCUCGAUCUAGUUCCCAGACUUUUUUUCCCACCAAAAUAUAACCCAUACUCAUUAAGCAGUUACUCCCCAUUCUUACCUCCCUAUACCCCUGGCAAUCAUCUGUGUUCUUUCUAUGUGUUUGCCUAUUCUGGGUAUUUCAUCUAAUAGAAUCAUACAGUAUGUGAUCGUUUUGUCUGGUUUAUUUCACUUAGCAUAUUGUUUUCCAGGUUUAUCCACAUUAUAGCAUGCAUCUGUACUUCAUUCCUUUUUUUUUUUCGUCUCACCUUGUGGCUGGCAGGAUCUUAGUUUCCUGACAAGAGAUCAAAUUUGUGCUCCCUGCAUUGGGAGUGCGGAGUCUUAGCCCUGGACUGCCAGGGAAAUCCCCAUUCCUUUUUUUUUUUUUUAAUGUUCCUUCUUCUAUUCAUAUUUUUCUCUCCCACCUCCCUGUGCCUCCUCUGUGCUUAUCCAACGUAAUUCAUCACUCAAGAACUAAAUCAAGUCGUACGUUUUUCAUAAAGAUUUCUACAUCCUUCAUCUUCCCUGAACCCCUUUAGCUCUAUCUACAUUACUUAAUGUAAAUGCCACACACAAGUGAUGUGUAGGAUUGGUUUUUAAAUAAUCCAGCAGGUAUCAGGGUGAAGAGAGGGAUGAAUGAGACCAGGUUGGCCAUAUAUUGAUGAUCACUGGAGCAAGGGAUGGGUACAUGGAGGCUGAUAAUGUCUUUCUCUCUAUAUUGUGUAUGUUUGAAAGUUUCCAGAAUAAAAAUUUUAAA
ensembl:lncRNA